rnacentral:rRNA from 1 species
GACGAACGCUGGCGGCGUGCCUAAUACAUGCAAGUUGAGCGCUGAAGGUUGGUACUUGUACCGACUGGAUGAGCAGCGAACGGGUGAGUAACGCGUGGGGAAUCUGCCUUUGAGCGGGGGACAACAUUUGGAAACGAAUGCUAAUACCGCAUAAAAACUUUAAACACAAGUUUUAAGUUUGAAAGAUGCAAUUGCAUCACUCAAAGAUGAUCCCGCGUUGUAUUAGCUAGUUGGUGAGGUAAAGGCUCACCAAGGCGAUGAUACAUAGCCGACCUGAGAGGGUGAUCGGCCACAUUGGGACUGCGACACGGCCCAAACUCCUACGGGAGGCAGCAGUAGGGAAUCUUCGGCAAUGGACGAAAGUCUGACCGAGCAACGCCGCGUGAGUGAAGAAGGUUUUCGGAUCGUAAAACUCUGUUGGUAGAGAAGAACGUUGGUGAGAGUGGAAAGCUCAUCAAGUGACGGUAACUACCCAGAAAGGGACGGCUAACUACGUG